GCAGUCCAAAAGAAAUGUAAUGCAAGACACAUACGCAGUUUUUGUUUUCUAUAAAACACGACUUAAACGGGUGGUCUAAUACUCAACAUUUGUCAGUGCCCACUGGAAACCAUUCUGAGACUCCCUGCAGCUGAGGAUCACAGCUUUUCAUUGUAAUGAUGUGAAUUAUUGCUGAACUGAUGACCUCAAACUCCUGCAAACAACUUGGAUAUCAGUGACCCCAUGAGAAUCUGUAAUAUCACUGGACAUGAAAAGAAGCCUGGUCCCUUCUACAACCAUGACAUAUAUUUGUAUUUAUGGUCCUCUGGAGAAUCUUGCCUUUUCCCACCAAUUUUUAUUUUACUCUAUCUAUAGUAUUGUAAUUUCAGAAGAAGAAAAUAAACUACAUUCCAUUCA
rnacentral:lncRNA from 1 species